UAAUGUGAGGGUGAUCUGGCUGUGACAUCUGUGACAAACAUUGAUCACUAGUAUUGACUUGGCUGAUCUUCCUGACUAGGCUGGUGUCCCCUUCCUCCCUCACCGCUCCUUGUGGAUCUUUCCCAAAGCUGCACACUUGGUCAGUCCAAGAGGUUGACCUUCCCCAAAGAGGAGGAUUGUUCUUUGGGCGAGUUGUAAAGGAGUAAUUGCACUCCUCUGCUAGAACCUCCAAACAAGCUCUCAAGGUCCACCUGUAGGGGAAAUUAGGGUAGUCAUGCUUUAAAGGUUCCACACAUAUCCAAAUCAGGCACUGCAGGUGGCAGUCUGCCUUUCUUU
ensembl:misc_RNA 7SK 7SK RNA